GGAUGCUUAGCUCAGCUGGGAGAGCAUCGCCCUUACAAGGCGGGGGUCACUGGUUCGAUCCCAGUAGCAUCCACCA
rnacentral:tRNA from 1 species